AGUGAACGCUGGCGGCGUGCCUAAUACAUGCAAGUCGAACGAAGUGGCGCACGGGUGAGUAAUAUAUAGUUAAUCUGCCCUACACAGAGGAACAACAGUUGGAAACGACUGCUAAUACAUCACAGUGUAGGAUGAGACGAUAUCGUAUCAGCUAGUUGGUAAGGUAAUGGCUUACCAAGGGUAUGACGCGUAACUGGUCUGAGAGGAUGAUCAGUGACAGUGGAACGGAGAGACGGUCCAAACUCCUACGGGAGGCAGCAGGAAGGAAGAGUGUGCAAGGGUGGAAACCCUGAUGCAGCAACGCCGCGUGCGUAAUGACGGCCUUCGGGUUGUAAACGGCUUGCAGCCAUGACGCGGUAGUGGCAGAAGAAGCACCGGAGAACUACGUGCCAGCAGCCGCGGUAAUAC
rnacentral:rRNA from 1 species